rnacentral:rRNA from 1 species
GACGAACGCUGGCGGCGUGCUUAACACAUGCAAGUCGAACGGAAAGGCCCCUUUGGGGGUACUCGAGUGGCGAACGGGUGAGUAACACGUGAGUAACCUGCCCUUGACUUCGGGAUAACUUCAGGAAACUGGGGCUAAUACCGGAUAGGAAUCCUUGCUGCAUGGUGGGGGUUGGAAAGCUUCGGCGGGUUUGGAUGGACUCGCGGCUUAUCAGCUUGUUGGUGGGGUAGUGGCUUACCAAGGCUUUGACGGGUAGCCGGCCUGAGAGGGCGAACGGCCACAUUGGGACUGAGAUACGGCCCAGACUCCUACGGGAGGCAGCAGUGGGGAAUAUUGCACAAUGGGCGGAAGCCUGAUGCAGCAACGCCGCGUGCGGGAUGACGGCCUUCGGGUUGUAAACCGCUUUCAGCAGGGGCGAAGCUUGUGGUGACGGUACCUGCAGAAGAAGCACCGGCUAACUACGUG